AAGACUAUACUUUCAGGGAUCAUUUCUAUAGUUCGUUAAAAUGAUUGCAACUAUUCAUUGCACUAUUCUAUGAUUAGGCUCUGCAUUUGAUUAACAGAUAUUUGUUAAUGGUCAUAAGUCCCACUGAGAGGGGCAGAAGAGCUCUUUAAUGCUUGAAGUAUAUAAAAGCUUCCAGAUACAGCUUAAGGUGAAUCUUGAAAUAUGAGUAGG